UACGUAGGGCGCGAGCGUUGUCCGGAAUUAUUGGGCGUAAAGAGCUCGUAGGCGGCGCUGUCAGUCGGGUGUGAAAUCCCAGGGCUCAACCCUGGAACUGCGCCCGAUACUGCAGUGCUUGAGGGAGACAGAGGUAAGCGGAACUGAUGGUGGAGCGGUGAAAUGCGUUGAUAUUGGGAAGAACACCGGUGGCGAAGGCGGCUAUCUGGACCGACAUUGACGCUGAGGCGCGAAAGCGUGGGGAGCAAACAGG
rnacentral:rRNA from 1 species